UUGAACGCUGGCGGCAGGCCUAACACAUGCAAGUCGAGCGGAUGAAGGGAGCUUGCUCCUGGAUUCAGCGGCGGACGGGUGAGUAAUGCCUAGGAAUCUGCCUGGUAGUGGGGGAUAACGUCCGGAAACGGGCGCUAAUACCGCAUACGUCCUGAGGGAGAAAGUGGGGGAUCUUCGGACCUCACGCUAUCAGAUGAGCCUAGGUCGGAUUAGCUAGUUGGUGGGUAAAGGCCUACCAAGGCGACGAUCCGUAACUGGUCUGAGAGGAUGAUCAGUCACACUGGAACUGAGACACGGUCCAGACUCCUACGGGAGGCAGCAGUGGGGAAUAUUGGACAAUGGGCGAAAGCCUGAUCCAGCCAUGCCGCGUGUGUGAAGAAGGUCUUCGGAUUGUAAAGCACUUUAAGUUGGGAGGAAGGGCAGUAAGUUAAUACCUUGCUGUUUUGACGUUACCAACAGAAUAAGCACCGGCUAACUUCGUG
rnacentral:rRNA from 1 species